rnacentral:rRNA from 1 species
CUGGCGGCGUGCUUAACACAUGCAAGUCGAACGAUGAAGCCUAGCUUGCUAGGUGGAUUAGUGGCGAACGGGUGAGUAAUACGUGAGUAACCUACCUUUAACUCUGGGAUAAGCCUGGGAAACUGGGUCUAAUACCGGAUACGACCAAUCUCCGCAUGGGGUGUUGGUGGAAAGCGUUAUGUAGUGGUUAUAGAUGGGCUCACGGCCUAUCAGCUUGUUGGUGAGGUAACGGCUCACCAAGGCGACGACGGGUAGCCGGCCUGAGAGGGUGACCGGCCACACUGGGACUGAGACACGGCCCAGACUCCUACGGGAGGCAGCAGUGGGGAAUAUUGCACAAUGGGCGCAAGCCUGAUGCAGCGACGCCGCGUGAGGGAUGACGGCCUUCGGGUUGUAAACCUCUGUUAGCAGGGAAGAAGAGAAAUUGACGGUACCUGCAGAGAAAGCGCCGGCUAACUACGUGCCAGCAGCCGCGGU